GGACAACCUGCCUCAAGGCUGGGGAUAACAUUUGGAAACAGAUGCUAAUACCGAAUAAAACUUAGUGUCGCAUGACACAAAGUUAAAAGGCGCUUCGGCGUCACCUAGAGAUGGAUCCGCGGUGCAUUAGUUAGUUGGUGGGGUAAAGGCCUACCAAGACAAUGAUGCAUAGCCGAGUUGAGAGACUGAUCGGCCACAUUGGGACUGAGACACGGCCCAAACUCCUACGGGAGGCUGCAGUAGGGAAUCUUCCACAAUGGGCGAAAGCCUGAUGGAGCAACGCCGCGUGUGUGAUGAAGGCUUUCGGGUCGUAAAGCACUGUUGUAUGGGAAGAACAGCUAGAAUAGGAAAUGAUUUUAGUUUGACGGUACCAUACCAGAAAGGGACGGCUAAAUACGUGCCAGCAGCCGCGGUAAUACGUAUGUCCCGAGCGUUAUCCGGAUUUAUUGGGCGUAAAGCGAGCGCAGACGGUUUAUUAAGUCUGAUGUGAAAGCCCGGAGCUCAACUCCGGAAUGGCAUUGGAAACUGGUUAACUUGAGUGCAGUAGAGGUAAGUGGAACUCCAUGUGUAGCGGUGGAAUGCGUAGAUAUAUGGAAGAACACCAGUGGCGAAGGCGGCUUACUGGACUGCAACUGACGUUGAGGCUCGAAAGUGUGGGUAGCAAACAGGAUUAGAUACCCUGGUAGUCCACACCGUAAACGAUGAACACUAGGUGUUAGGAGGUUUCCGCCUCUUAGUGCCGAAGCUAACGCAUUAAGUGUUCCGCCUGGGGAGUACGACCGCAAGGUUGAAACUCAAAGGAAUUGACGGGGACCCGCACAAGCGGUGGAGCAUGUGGUUUAAUUCGAAGCAACGCGAAGAACCUUACCAGGUCUUGACAUCCUUUGAAGCUUUUAGAGAUAGAAGUGUUCUCUUCGGAGACAAAGUGACAGGUGGUGCAUGGUCGUCGUCAGCUCGUGUCGUGAGAUGUUGGGUUAAGUCCCGCAACGAGCGCAACCCUUAUUGUUAGUUGCCAGCAUUCAAAUGGGCACUCUAGCGAGACUGCCGGUGACAA
rnacentral:rRNA from 1 species